rnacentral:tRNA from 2 species
GCGGGAUUGGUGAAGUGGUUAACACACCAGAUUGUGGCUCUGGCAUGCGUGGGUUCGACCCCCACAUCUCGCCCCA